CCUACGGGAGGCAGCAGUGAGGAAUAUUGGUCAAUGGUCGGGAGACUGAACCAGCCAAGCCGCGUGAGGGAUGAAGGUACAGAGUAUCGUAAACCUCUUUUGUCAGGGAACAAAGGCGGGGACGUGUCCCCGGAUGAGUGUACCUGAAGAAUAAGCAUCGGCUAACUCCGUGCCAGCAGCCGCGGUAAUACGGAGGAUGCGAGCGUUAUCCGGAUUUUUUGGGUUUAAAGGGUGCGUAGGCGGUCGGUUAAGUGAGCGGUAAAAGCCGGGGGCACAACCCCGGCCGGCCGUUGCAACUGGGAGUUUCGAGUUGGAGAGAAGUAGGCGGAAUGCGGGGUGUGGCGGGGAAAUGCAUAGAUAUCG
rnacentral:rRNA from 1 species